rnacentral:rRNA from 1 species
UACAGAGGUCCCAAGCGUUGUUCGGAUUCACUGGGCGUAAAGGGUGCGUAGGUGGCGAGGUAAGUCGGAUGUGAAAGCUCGGAGCUCAACUCCGAAAUGGCAUUGGAAACUACCUUGCUCGAGGGUUGGAGGGGGGACUGGAAUGCUUGGUGUAGCAGUGAAAUGCGUAGAUAUCAGGAGGAACACCGGUGGCGAAGGCGGUUCUCUGGGCAUUACCUGACGCUGAGGAGCGAAAGUGUGGGGAGCGAACAGG